AUUGAACGCUGGCGGCAUGCCUUACACAUGCAAGUCGAACGGCAGCACGGGAGCAAUCCUGGUGGCGAGUGGCGAACGGGUGAGUAAUAUAUCGGAACGUGCCUAGUAGUGGGGGACAACCAUUCGAGAGAGUGGCUAAUACCGCAUACGCACUCUGGUGGAAAGUGGGGGAUCGCAAGACCUCACGCUAUUAGAGCGGCCGAUAUCAGAUUAGGUAGUUGGUGGGGUAAAGGCCUACCAAGCCUACGAUCUGUAGCUGGUCUGAGAGGACGACCAGCCACACUGGGACUGAGACACGGCCCAGACUCCUACGGGAGGCAGCAGUGGGGAAUUUUGGACAAUGGGCGCAAGCCUGAUCCAGCCAUGCCGCGUGUGGGAAGAAGGCCUUCGGGUUGUAAACCACUUUUGUCAGGGAAGAAACGGCUUCGGUUAAUACCUGGAGCUAAUGACGGUACCUGAAGAAUAAGCACCGGCUAACUACGUGCCAGCCGCCGCGGUAA
rnacentral:rRNA from 1 species